GGCUCGGGGAGCAAUGUUCACAGUCCAUUAUAGACCCAACUCCUUGUUCUACUCCUUCUCCCCUUUUCACUACUGCACUUGACUAGUCUUUA
ensembl:misc_RNA Y_RNA Y RNA